AUGGCCCUGAAGCAGCAAUCUGCGGUCCUGCCUCAGCCCAAGAAACCCAGACCGGCUGCUGCCCCGAAGCUGGAGGACAAGUCGGCCUCUCCCAGCCUGCCGAAGGGAGAAAAAGAACAGCAAGAAGCAAUUGAACAUAUUGAUGAAGUACAAAAUGAAAUAGACAGACUUAAUGAACAAGCCAGUGAGGAAAUUUUGAAAGUAGAACAAAAAUAUAACUCCACCAACCAUUUUUUCAGAAGAGGUCAGAAUUGAUCACCAAAAUUCCAAAUUUUUGGGUAACAACAUGUGUCAACCAUCCACAAGUGUCUGCACUGCUUGGGGAGGAGGACAAGGAGUCUCUGCAUUAUUUGACCAGAGUUGAAGUGACAGAAUUUGAAGACAUUAAAUCAGGUUACAGAAUAGAUUUUUAUUUUGAUGAAAAUCCUUACUUUGAAAAUAAAGUUCUCUCCAAAGAAUUUCAUCUGAAUGAGAGUGGUGACCCGUCCUCAAAAUCCACCAAAAUCAAAUGGAAAUCUGGAAAGGAUUUGACAAAAACACUCAAGUCAAACGCAGAAUAAGGCCAGCAGGAAGAGCCAGCACGAAGAGCCAGCGAGCUUCUUUACCUGGUUUACUGACCACUCUGACGCAGGUGCUGAAGAGUUAGGAGAGGUCAUCAAGGAUGACAUUUGGCCAAAUCCCUUGCAGUACUAUCUGCUUCCAGACAUGGAUGAUGAGGAAGGAGAGGCAGAAGAUGAUGAUGAUGACGACGAAGAGGAGGAGGGGUGGGAAGAUAUUGAUGAAGAAGGAAAUGAGGAUGAAGGUGAAGAGGAUGACGAUGAGGAUGAAGGGGAGGAAGGAGAGGAGGAUGAAGACGAGGAUGACUAGCACAGAAGAUUGAUGGAUUCCAACCUUCUUUUUUAUUUUCUUUUUCUUUUUUAGUUUUCCCCAGUCCCUGGGAGCAAGUUGCAGCCCACCCUCCCUGUCCCCUGUGCUCAGUCGCCCUGUUUAGAGGUCUCAACUUCAUGGUUCUCAAUUAAUUUGGGGGAAAAUAUCUUGAGCAAAAUACAACAGGAAAAGAAUCUC